ensembl:lncRNA
AAAACUUCCAGUGGUAAAGGGAAACACGAAUGCAUAGGACUUUCACACCCAUACAGCAUGUUCCCGACAGAAAAACUUAUUCAUUAAAAAAAAUCUACAAAACACAGAAGAUAAAAUUUAAAUUGGUAGGCAGAGGGUGGUACUCAGUCUCAGAAAUUCUGGUAACAAGGGGACUUGUGACACAACUCUUUGUCAAGAAGGACACAACAGCUUAACAGGCUUGAGUUACUGUGAACAGCAUCCUCCCGCCUAACUGUCCUGAGAUUGCUACAAAAGACAAUCCAGGAGGAGAGGGAACCACCUUCUAGUCUGGGAAGAAACUUGGACUACAGAGCAAUAGGAACCAUUACAGGCCAGUGGGCCUUCACUUCGCAGAGUUCAUCUGACUUCGGGAAGACAGGGGUUAAAAAGUUGCUAGUUUCUGGAGGUACAAUCAUGAAUUUUUGUCUCAUGAGGGAUGUAUUUUGUUACGUUUUCUGUUCUUGUGUACUGUCGAG